rnacentral:rRNA from 1 species
UGCAAGUCGAACGGUGAAGCCAAGCUUGCUUGGUGGAUCAGUGGCGAACGGGUGAGUAACACGUGAGCAACCUGCCCUGGACUCUGGGAUAAGCGCUGGAAACGGCGUCUAAUACUGGAUAUGAGACGUGAUCGCAUGGUCGUGUUUGGAAAGAUUUUUCGGUCUGGGAUGGGCUCGCGGCCUAUCAGCUUGUUGGUGAGGUAAUGGCUCACCAAGGCGUCGACGGGUAGCCGGCCUGAGAGGGUGACCGGCCACACUGGGACUGAGACACGGCCCAGACUCCUACGGGAGGCAGCAGUGGGGAAUAUUGCACAAUGGGCGAAAGCCUGAUGCAGCAACGCCGCGUGAGGGAUGACGGCCUUCGGGUUGUAAACCUCUUUUAGCAGGGAAGAAGCGAAAGUGACGGUACCUGCAGAAAAAGCGCCGGCUAACUACGUGCCAGCAGCCGCGGUAAUACGUAGGGCGCAAGCGUUAUCCGGAAUUAUUGGGCGUAAAGAGCUCGUAGGCGGUUUGUCGCGUCUGCUGUGAAAUCCCGAGGCUCAACCUCGGGCCUGCAGUGGGUACGGGCAGACUAGAGUGCGGUAGGGGAGAUUGGAAUUCCUGGUGUAGCGGUGGAAUGCGCAGAUAUCAGGAGGAACACCGAUGGCGAAGGCAGAUCUCUGGGCCGUAACUGACGCUGAGGAGCGAAAGGGUGGGGAGCAAACAGGCUUAGAUACCCUGGUAGUCCACCCCGUAAACGUUGGGAACUAGUUGUGGGGACCAUUCCACGGUUUCCGUGACGCAGCUAACGCAUUAAGUUCCCCGCCUGGGGAGUACGGCCGCAAGGCUAAAACUCAAAGGAAUUGACGGGGACCCGCACAAGCGGCGGAGCAUGCGGAUUAAUUCGAUGCAACGCGAAGAACCUUACCAAGGCUUGACAUAUACGAGAACGGGCCAGAAAUGGUCAACUCUUUGGACACUCGUAAACAGGUGGUGCAUGGUUGUCGUCAGCUCGUGUCGUGAGAUGUUGGGUUAAGUCCCGCAACGAGCGCAACCCUCGUUCUAUGUUGCCAGCACGUAAUGGUGGGAACUCAUGGGAUACUGCCGGGGUCAACUCGGAGGAAGGUGGGGAUGACGUCAAAUCAUCAUGCCCCUUAUGUCUUGGGCUUCACGCAUGCUACAAUGGCCGGUACAAAGGGCUGCAAUACCGUGAGGUGGAGCGAAUCCCAAAAAGCCGGUCCCAGUUCGGAUUGAGGUCUGCAACUCGACCUCAUGAAGUCGGAGUCGCUAGUAAUCGCAGAUCAGCAACGCUGCGGUGAAUACGUUCCCGGGUCUUGUACACACCGCCCGUCAAGUCAUGAAAGUCGGUAACACCUGAAGCCGGUGGCCCAACCCUUGUGGAGGAGCCGUCGA